rnacentral:lncRNA from 1 species
UGGCGGGGCAGGGCGCAGGCUCCUGCAAGGCGGCCUUGUGGAUUCUUGGCCCGGAGCGAGGGCGGGCCCCGGACGCACUCGGGGUUCGCCUUUUCUCCUUUUCAAAAAAAACUGCGUUGCGUUUUCCUUCCUCUAGCUUGGAAACAAUUUGCUCUUUUUUCCCCAGUCUCUGCCAUAAACACUUGAAUGUGCAUACAACUGCAGAGCUUAAUGCCACAACCUCCAGGAGAUUGGGGGGAGGGGGAAGCUGCCCAGGAUGGGAGUGGGAAAGCAAGGGAAAAUGGAGAACGUUAGCAACUGCAUCCUGUCAGGGGUCCCCCGUCCAUGUGGCCUUUCUUCCAGCGACAGCACCCUUAGCUCAGAACAGAUUCACACCCACUCUGUUUCCACCGGGCGCGCCGGCUCUGCAAUGCGGAGCGCGUUCUCUCAAGGACAGGCCCCGGAGUCACCGCCACAGCCACAGAAAGCGGAAACCGAGCCUCUGUCCAGAGGGGAUCCCAGUACAUUUCCAGCAGGUUCAGACACAGGGUCCCCCACAAGAAGGAAACAGGACGGAAAAUGUCAGUACACGUAUGCUGUGGAGGGUCGAGGUCUUGCCUAGAUCUUGGGUGUGGGUAGUCGUAGCCGCUCGCAGUUUUCCUUUCCAGCAUCUCUGGGGAGCCUGGAGAUGUGCUCGGGGCCGAUGUGACACGAAGAGUGAUUGCGCCGCUCUGCAGAGGCGGUGGCGGGACGCUGCGCUCGGGCUGGGAAAGGCCGGCCCCAGGGCGACCCCUCCAGAGGCCCCCGGAGAGCAGGUGUGCGCCUCGCCUCCCGCUGGGCAGCCAGUUCAGGAGAAAAAUGUGAAGCUUUUAUCUAAACAAAAUAUUUCUUUCGUUAAGGGCUUUCUCCACACUGAGACUUUCUAGCCACGUGAGACUUUGACCUCCCAGUCCCCCAGAUUCAGCGCUGGGACCGAGCGUCUGCUGUUAUUUUUAGUAGAAGUAUAAAAAGAAUCUCAAAGUUUUAGCUCUGGAGAAGGCGUGAAUACAGCUGGUGCCUUCACACACUCCACUUGAGCCGCUCUUAAAGAACUCCAGGAGAUGAGAAAGCAAUACGAAAGCCAGAGCAUUGCACAUGAGGACGGGCUGGCG